ensembl:misc_RNA Y_RNA Y RNA
UGUUGGUCUGAUGGUAAUAGGCCAUCAGAACUUGUUAACAUUAGUGUCACUAAAGUUGGUAUACAACCCCCCUGCUGUUGAAUUUGACUGGCUUAA